CAGGGAGACAACAAAAUGUUUAAUAUUAUUUUGUCACCUUAGGUCGAUCGGUAUCUCACAUUCUUAAAUCUAUUAAGAAUUUCAUUUCCUAAGUUUUUCUAGGUCACACCCAUUAUUUUUCCUGGGCCAUUAGCUCAGGUGGUUAGAGCGCACCCCUGAUAAGGGUGAGGUCCCUGGUUCAAGUCCAGGAUGGCCCAUAUCUCUAUGUUGGGGGUAUAGCUCAGUUGGUAGAGCGCCUGCUUUGCAAGCAGGAUGUCAGCGGUUCGAGUCCGCUUACCUCCACUGAUUACCACCUCUUCCAUAAUCUAAGGAAAUGUUUUGAGUUGUGAUCAAAUUCUGAACGAAUCUAGCUUCCUAAUGAAAUCAUUAAGAUGCUGGACUCAUUGAAUUAAUUUCAUUGUUUUCAGAGAACCUUGACAACUGCAUAGAUUAUUUUUAAAGACAAUAAGCAUCUUUAAUGAUGCAGAUUUAUUAUUUGUGCGAAUGCAUUAAUAACAAUUCUAUUAAGCUGAUGCUUCAAUUUUGAAGUUAUU
rnacentral:tRNA from 1 species